GACGCAGUAGGAUAGGCGAAGCGUGCUGUUGGAGUGCACGUCCAAGCAGUGAGAUUGAGUGUUAGGCAAAUCCGGCACUCUUAAGAUUGAGCUGUGAUGGGGAGAGGAACUUGUUCCUCGAGUCGUUGAUUUCACACUGCCGAGAAAAGCCUCUAGCUAGAAUAACGGUGCCCGUACCGCAAACCGACACAGGUAGUCAAGAUGAGAAUUCUAAGGUGAGCGAGCGAACUCUCGUUAAGGAACUCGGCAAAAUGACCCCGUAACUUCGGGAGAAGGGGUGCUCUUUGAGGUUCACGCUUCGAAGAGCCGCAGUGAAUAGGCCCAAGCGACUGUUUAUCAAAAACACAGGUCUCUGCUAAACCGUAAGGUGACGUAUAGGGGCUGACGCCUGCCCGGUGCUGGAAGGUUAAGAGGAGUGGUUAGCGCAAGCGAAGCUACGAAUCGAAGCCCCAGUAAACGGCGGCCGUAACUAUAACGGUCCUAAGGUAGCGAAAUUCCUUGUCGGGUAAGUUCCGACCCGCACGAAAGGCGUAACGAUUUGGGCACUGUCUCAACGAGAGACUCGGUGAAAUCAUAGUACCGGUGAAGAUGCCGGUUACCCGCGACAGGACGGAAAGACCCCGUGGAGCUUUACUGUAGCCUGAUAUUGAAAUUCGGUACAGUUUGUACAGGAUAGGUAGGAGCCUUAGAAGCGUGAGCGCUAGCUUACGUGGAGGCAUUGGUGGGAUACUACCCUAAUUGUAUUGGAUUUCUAACCCGCAGCACUUAUCGUGCUGGGAGACAGUGUCAGGCGGGCAGUUUGACUGGGGCGGUCGCCUCCUAAAGAGUAACGGAGGCGCUCAAAGGUUCCCUCAGAAUGGUUGGAAAUCAUUCAUAGAGUGUAAAGGCAUAAGGGAGCUUGACUGCGAGACCUACAAGUCGAGCAGGGUCGAAAGACGGACUUAGUGAUCCGGUGGUUCCGCAUGGAAGGGCCAUCGCUCAACGGAUAAAAGCUACCCCGGGGAUAACAGGCUUAUCUCCCCCAAGAGUUCACAUCGACGGGGAGGUUUGGCACCUCGAUGUCGGCUCAUCGCAUCCUGGGGCUGUAGUCGGUCCCAAGGGUUGGGCUGUUCGCCCAUUAAAGCGGUACGCGAGCUGGGUUCAGAACGUCGUGAGACAGUUCGGUCCCUAUCCGUCGUGGGCGUAGGAAAUUUGAGAGGAGCUGUCCUUAGUACGAGAGGACCGGGAUGGACAUACCUCUGGUGUACCAGUUGUCGUGCCAACGGCAUAGCUGGGUAGCUAUGUAUGGACGGGAUAAGUGCUGAAAGCAUCUAAGCAUGAAGCCCCCCUCGAGAUGAGAUUUCCCAACUUC
rnacentral:rRNA from 1 species